rnacentral:hammerhead_ribozyme from 1 species
CGCCGAAACGCGCGGAACGCGCGCGUAGCCCGGGCGCUUGAGACCCGGGCCUGACGAGGCAACCAAAA